CCCUUAGAUGUUCUGGGCCGCACACGCGCUACACUGAAGGAGGCAGCGUGUACUCCUGGAUCGAAAGAUUUGGGUAACCCGCGAAUCUCCUUCGUGCUAGGGAUUGAGGUUUGCAAUUAUCCUUCAUGAACGAGGAAUUCCCAGUAAGUGCAAGUCAUAAGCUUGCGCUGACUACGUCCCUGCCCUUUGUACACACCGCCCGUCGCUACUACCGAUUGAAUGAUUUAGUGAGGACUUCGGACUGGGACCGAUGCGGCUUUCGGGCUGCGUCGGUAUUCUGGCAAGAUGUCCAAACUGUAUCAUUUAGAGGAAGUAAAAGUCGUAACA
rnacentral:rRNA from 1 species